GAUGAACGCUGGCGGCGUGCCUAAUACAUGCAAGUCGAGCGAACAGACGAGGAUCUUGCUCCUCUGACGUUAGCGGCGGACGGGUGAGUAACACGUGGAUAACCUACCUAUAAGACUGGGAUAACUUCGGGAAACCGGAGCUAAUACCGUAUAAUAUAUUGCACCGCAUGGUUCAAUAGUGAAAGACGGUUUUGCUGUCACUUAUAGAUGGAUCCGCGCCGCAUUAGCUAGUUGGGAGGGUAACGGGUUACCAAGGCAACGAUGCGUAGCCGACGUGAGGGGGUGGUAGGCCACACUGGAACUGAGACACGGUCCAGACGCCUACGGGAGGCAGCAGUAGGGAAUCUUCCGCAAUGGGCGAAAGCCUGACGGAGCAACGCCGCGUGAAUGAUGAAGGUCUUCGGAUCGUAAAACUCUGUUAUUAGGGAAGAACAAAUGUGUAAGUAACUAUGCACGUAUUGACGGUACCUAAUCAGAAAGCCACGGCUAACUACGUG
rnacentral:rRNA from 1 species